GCGCCCGUAGCUCAGUGGAUAGAGCACAGCAUUGCGGAUGCUGGGGUCGGGGGUUCGAGUCCCUCCGGGCGCGCCA
rnacentral:tRNA from 1 species